rnacentral:rRNA from 1 species
GACGAACGCUGGCGGCGCGCCUCAUACAUGCAAGUCGAACGAGAAGCCCGGGCUUGCCCGGGUGGAGAGUGGCGAACGGGUGAGGAACACGUGAGGAACCUGCCCCGAAGACUGGGAUAACACCGGGAAACCGGUGCUAAUACCGGAUGCCCUCACCGGACCGCAUGAUCCGGUGAGGAAAUGGAUUCCGCUUCGGGAUGGCCUCGCGGCCUAUCAGCUUGUUGGUGGGGUAAUGGCCCACCAAGGCUUCGACGGGUAGCUGGUCUGAGAGGAUGUCCAGCCACACUGGGACUGAGACACGGCCCAGACUCCUACGGGAGGCAGCAGUAGGGAAUCUUGCGCAAUGAGCGAAAGCUUGACGCAGCGACGCCGCGUGCGGGAUGAAGGCCCUCGGGUCGUAAACCGCUUUCAGCAGGGACGAAACUGACGGUACCUGCAGAAGAAGGCCCGGCCAACUACGUGCCAGCCGCCGCCGUAACAC